GAUGAACGCUAGCUACAGGCUUAACACAUGCAAGUCGAGGGGUAACGAGAGGAAAGCUUGCUUUCCUUGUCGACGACCGGCGCACGUGUGAGUAACGCGUAUCCAACCUGCCCCCAACUAAGGAAUAACCUUGCGAAAGUAAGACUAAUACCUUAUAAUUUCAUCAGAUGUCAUCUGACGAGGAUUAAAGAUUUAUCGGUUGUGGUUGGGAAUGCUUCUGAUUAGCUUGUUGGCGGGGUAACGGCCCACCAAAGCAACGAUCAGUAUGGGUUCCUAGAGGAAGGUCCCCCACAUUGGAACUGAGACACAGUCCAAACUCCUACGGGAGGCAGCAGUGAGGAAUAUUGGUCAAUCGGCGCAAGCCUGAACCAGCCAUGCCGCGUGCAGGAUGAAGCAUCUAUGGUGUGUAAGCUGCUUUUAUACGGGAAGAAACCCUGCCACGUGUGGCAGAUUGACGGUACCGUAGGAAUAAGGAUCGGCUAACUCCGUGCCAGCAGCCGCCGUAA
rnacentral:rRNA from 1 species